AGUAUCUCAAGUGAGCUUCUACAGUACAAAUGUUCACACAACUGCAAGAGACAAACUUCAUUUCAUCUGAUUUGAACAUACCAGUGCAACGACAUUUGGAAAUUGGAAACUCCAGUAAAGAAGAAAGAGUCAGAAGGCAGGAAGAGAACUGCUGAAGAAUGUGAAGAAAGGAUGCAUAUUUAACCUAAGUUGACUACAUACAUGAUGCUUUGGAAACCACCUUCAGUAUUCCUCUAAAACAGGC